CAGUCGAUAAUUACGGAACACUAACCGCAUAAUUGAUUUCGUUCGAUCCUACAGUCGAACACCUACGACUGCGGGAAACUUUGCGAUCGAGAUAUCAAUUAGUCAAAGACCGAAGUGAAAAAGACAUAGACGCGGCGGUAGAUUAUCGCGAGGUGGAAAGUAAUUGAUUCUCGAUUGUCGAGAACACAAAUCUUGUCUCGGUGAAAAUUCUUACGAACGAUACUUCGCGCCAAGAUUUAAAAAGAGAAAUUUAUUUUGUGAAGGGGAAGAGUAAGGAAAAGGUACCUAAUGAUUGGAACAAUCCUUCCAAGAGUCAACCUAACCUUCUAAGAGUGAAGUUCAAAAGACACGCAGUAUCAGAAUGCAAGAGAAACCCGUUGAGACAAUUAAAGAAGUUGAGCGAGGAAUAGUGUUUUUUUUAAGGUAAAAGUCUAUUAGAGGAGAUCAAGAUUGCACGCGUAUUCAACAGCUGCAAACGCUCUGAACAGAAAUGUGUAGAUCGAUAAAAUUUCAUUCAUCGAUCGGCCAGAUUCCAUCGGAGAACGCGCAGUCGGUAAUAGCUGCGCGCGCAUACGCGCGUGCGCUUACAUGGCGCGCACAUACGAAAUUUCCCUUGUUACAUGAACAAACAACUCGUGCGUUUACUAAUUUUCCCGAAUAGUUUUUUUUAUCAUAUAGCAACGUUUCACGGACUGUUGCCUGAUAAAUGCACCAUUCGAAUCAUUAUAUAAAGAUGAUUGUUUGAUUGUCGGAAUGAGAUUAAACGAAACAAGUGAAAUUGCACGCUCAAAGUUUUCUUGGAAAUUAGAUUCUCAUUAUUCUCAAAUCUGCAUGAUCUUUGCUCGGCGCGUUUACCUUUCAACAGCCGUUAAACCGAUCAAUACCGAGAUUUUAUUUAAAUACGAAAAUUAGCUGAGUGGUCGUAAAGAGCCCAUAAACUUUUCAAUUAUCUUGUCUUAAAACUUAAAACUAAAUCUCGAUUGGGAACAAUUUUUGAGAUCCAUUAGCAUUGCGUAAUAUGUAAUAGGAACAUCAAAGAGCGUUAGAUA